rnacentral:rRNA from 1 species
CAGUCGCGCGGUAAUACGAAGGGUGCAAGCGUUACUCGGAAUUACUGGGCGUAAAGCGUGCGUAGGUGGUGGUUUAAGUCCGUUGUGAAAGCCCUGGGCUCAACUUGGGAAUUGCAGUGGAUACUGGGUCACUAGAGUGUGGUAGAGGAUAGUGGAAUUUCCGGUGUAGCAGUGAAAUGCGUAGAGAUCGGAAGGAACAUCUGUGGCGAAGGCGACUAUCUGGGCCAACACUGACACUGAGGCACGAAAGCGUGGGGAGCAAACAGGAUUAGAUACCCCCGUAGUCCCUGUCUCUUAUACA